CCCAACCUGACUGCUGUGUUCUGCCCUGAGUCUGCAGAGGCUGACCCUGGCCAGGAAAGUGGUUGGAAAAGCAUUUUUGCAGAGAGGCAGCCUGAAGGUGGUGGCUCUAUGUAAGUGUGCACCCUUGGUUGGAAAGGCUGAAGGUCAGGAAUGGUAUUAGGAGAAAGUUCCCCCUUUCUCCUUUGUCCCUCCUUCCUGCCCCUGGACACAGGCUUGAGGAUCUGCAUCUGGCUGGCUCACCCUUCCUGCACAACUUUUCUAUUCAAGUUUUUCAGGGCAGGGCUUUAAGAAACACUUCAGGUUAAUUAUAGCCAGGGGUCAUUUUCUAUACAAGCGGGACAAACUUGAUGUGACUACAGGGCUGUCUCCAGGGCUGAUUCAUUCGACCUAGAAAACUGCCCCUAGGGAAACAGCCUCAGAAUCUUGCCUGCAGCUCUGGAAGUGGUAAUGGGCCCACCUGUCUCCCUGCCCAUCAUCUCACAUCUGGGGGAAUGUCUUGGCUAGCAGCAUGGCCCUGAGUGAGGGGUUUAGGUAAACAAGGUGUGACUGGGAUUGGAAGAGUCACAAACCUGUUUGUUAGAGCAAUGCUGAAGAGUUUCAGGAAAAGAAUUUCAUCAAGGCUGGCACAUCUGUCCUCAGACACUUGAAGGAUUCCCUGGAGGAAGGAGGACUGAACUUGCCCUACAAGAUCCUGCGGGGCAAAGAACUGUAAGCAGAGACAAAAUGAAAGCCCUCUAGGCCCACAAUUGAUUCUAACGGCUGUGAGGGAAUGAGCUUCAACUACUGUUGAUGGGAGGGACUGUGUGCCAGGCACUGUGCUAGGGACUCUCAUGCAUGAUCUCAUUCAUCUUCUGCAUAACCCAAUGAGGUAUGAUCUACUAUCAAGUGUCUACAUUUGUAUUGGAUUGGUAUGUGUGCCCAACAAAGAAAGUGUCAUUUUUCCUUGGGAAUGAAAUCACAUCAUUUGUGAAGACUUAGUAGAGGCUAAAUGAGUACAAGCAGCAUUUACCUUAUUAAACAGAUAUUUUCAACAUUUAAAACAGUCUGACCAUCAAUGAUGAUGUUCAAAAACAUCUCAAGAUGUUUUAGAGCUAAAGCAAAUGAGAAAAUAUAGUAAAGGGCUGAUUCCUGUGGAUAUUCUGCAAAGGAAAGUAACAUGGUGGAGUGGAAGUGGGAUAAGGUUUGAAGCCAAAAGACCUGGUGGGCUUAAGGUCUCCAUUUAUUGGUUGUGUGACCUUGGAUAAGCCACUUCACCUCCUGGUGAGACUUGGGCAAAAUGGAGAUCAUAUUAAUCACCUCACAGUUUGUUACGCAUUGAGUAAAUGCACAUGUAAGCAUUAUUGACUGUAAAUGAUUAUGCAUAUUUUAAUUAUGGUAUAUCCAAGCCUGAUUUUUCAUCCAGUGCUUACAGUGCCCUGGGCAUAAUACUCAUUCAAUAAACAUUUGUUUGAUGAUAGAGUAAUAAAUGAAUAUGUGAUGCAGAAGUUUUAAAAAUAUUUUUGCUGCUGUCUGACUCAUUUAUAGACAUUUAUAAAAUUGAGGAUUUGUAAGUUGUCCCUGGACAAUCAGAUCUCUUGAUUCAAAGGUGAAAGAUAAUCAUUCAGGUUUUCAAGUUUUUCCUGAUAUGAGACAUUAACUGGCAGGGCUGAUUAUGAGAAAUUGUCAUUAUCCUGCUCAAAUAUAAGAUCAUAGAUUUGGGAAACCUUAGAAAUAAUUACCUUCUUUUCAAAUAUGAGGAAACUGAAGCCCAGAGGCUCUAAGAAAUCAGGGACUUUAUAUAAUUUUUUCAUUUCUCUAGCUCUAGGGUAAUUGUAGAUAGAUAUACAACAAGUAUGUUUUUAAAAGUAUAUUUUUCAAGAAUUAUGCUAAGCACUGGGGAAAUAAACAUUAACAAGACAAAACCCUCCCCUUUGAGGAACUGAUAAUCUAGACAGACAUGAAAACCAGGAAGUGUGCUAUCAGUUAUAUUAAUGUUGUACAGAGUUCUAGUGGCAAGAGGGAACUGCCAAGGGAAAUCUGAGAGGAGGUGUUUACCCUGCGUAAACACCUUGCUGUUUAGCUUGGCAUCCCUAGAAGCAGACCCUGAGGACAGUGGGAAAAUGGAUUAUUAAGGAAGUGCUCCUGAGAGAAACCAGAAAGGGGGUGUAGGGAGCAAGGGAGGAUAAGGAGAAGACUCCAGUAAGGAUGAGAUUACUCAAGUCCCAUGGAAGACAGGUUAGCCUGAUCCUGCAGGGGAGCCCUGGAGGACUUAACAUCUCUGGAAAGCCAGAAAUCAGAGAUACAGAGAAGUAUUGAAAUGCUGAAAUGCUAUGAAUUUACUAUAAGAGAACAUUCUUCACUGAAGAGAUCUCUAGCUGCCAAAACACCCUUUCAUGCGUGAAAUACCGGGGCAAAGAGGAAGGAAAAGAGAAGAGUAUGACUCUAGGAACCAUGUUGCAGAAAUGCCAAAGGGUGGGACAAACAAAGUUACUAAUGUGGAGAAAGAAGAUUAUCAUGUGUGGAACGAAGGACAAUAUGAACAUUAAAUAAUGCCCUGACUCAUUCCAAAAAGAAUCUGAGAUGACCAAUAAAGCCAUUUUUAAUUGUUUAUUAGUGAACAAUAGAUUAUGAGUGCUAAAGGGAUUCAGGAAGAAGAAAGAUCAGUGCAGAGUAGAGAAGUCUGAUGGAUGCAUUGAAGAAGCUAUGCUUGAGCUGAAAUGACAAGAGAGCUGUUUUUCGCUUUCAGAAUUAUUAUGUGGCAAUGGUAAUUGACAACAGAGAAGCUGAAGGUAUGAGGACAAGGGUGUCUUAUCUUUCCCCAGAAGUCUUGCUUGGCCCAUGGGAGAAUACAGGCCUGCACCUUGGACUUGGAGUCAGUAGAUUCCUUCCUGUGAUUUUUUACAAGCUCAAACAUCCCCUGACUGAGUCAUUCACCAGAGAAAGAGGCUUUUCAAAUGAUUUGUGCAUUAGCUAUAGUCUGCCUUAUUCAACCCCAUUUUAGUGUCACAAAAGCUUCUUCUUCCUACAUUGUUAGAGCCUUUUUGACUUUUCUGAAACGACAUCUGCUCACCUCUUGGGUAACACCCUGCAGGGCUCAGUCGAGCUCAGUCACCCUUCACUUUUUUUUUUUUUUUUUUGAGCCAGUUUUGUAAGGUGCUGAGGGAGGUUUGUAUUAGUCCUUGUUGCCCCUAGAAGAAAUAACAGCUAUAAUUUUGGCCCCGAAGAAAAGGAACAGGUAUGACUAUUCUCUCUCUUUCUCUCAAACCACAAUCUACUCUAGGGAGGAAGUCACUUUAUGGGAGCAGAGUCACUCUCAAGUAAUAGCUGGCCAUACAGAUUGCUCUGGACCAAGGGUGAAUGUGAAGAAGAAAAGACCGGCCAGCAACACAAUGGAAUAUCUAGAGUCAUAUUGAGGGAAAUACUUAGAUUGCUGAUUUCUUAGUGGAUUUCACAAGCAGAGCUGCUUGUGAGCAGAAUGGUGAAGUAGGGGCAUGUGUUUCUGGGGUCUUAUUCCAUGGCUUCCUUCCACCUACAAGAGUCAUCCUCACGGAGUACUUGCAUUUCAGUAGAAGAAAAAAAUCUUAUAGAUGGAAGGGAAGGAUGGGGUUCCUGCUUUAGGAAGAUUGGCAUGGUCAUAAGUCUGAGCAAGGAAGGGCCCAGGGCAGCUCAGAGCUCUGAGCAGGAAGCUCUAAUUAGUUACUGAAUAUGGUGCAAGCACAAAGAGAGCGUAGUGUUUUCCCUUUCCAUCUGUGGAAGUCUUGGCCAUGCUUACUUGGGCGUUCCUUCCAGGAAACAUUUAUUUUUCCUCUUUAAUGCCCUCCUCAUAUCUAUGCUCUCAGUAGAGGAUGCCACUGCUUCUGGCACCUGGAUAAUAGAAUGAAGCUGAUUGGGAUGGAAACAGAAAAGUCAUCUCUCAGAACAAUGAGCAGAGACUGAAACUCCCUUGUACCCAGUCCCUGUGCACUGCUGUUCAUAGCCAAAUGGGCAAGGCCUUGCCAAAUGUCAUGUUGAGGUGAGGCCCUAAGUGAUAGAAAAAUAAAAAAUGACUAUGGCCACUUGCAUGUUCAGAGAAUUCAGUUUAGAAAAUGCUAUGCUGGGAGGAUCUCUCUUAAUAUCUUGUUUGCAUCAGAAUGUUCAAGUUGCAAUAUAUGUUUUUGUUUUGUGUAUUUAUUUAUUUUCCUCUACUCUAUUCUGUUAAGUCUUUUAGGGCAAAGGUAGGGUAGUCUAUACUCCCUGCGUUAUCCAUAAUGCCUAGCACUGUGUCUUGUACAUAAAAGGUCAUAAUAAAUACCUGUUGGCUAGAUAGAUGAAUGGAUAGAGUGCCUCAUUUAGAAGCAUUAUACUUCUAUGGAAAAAAAUUUUUAAAUGUAUUUUUUUCUAUGAGAUAACACAGUUCCUGAAUAGGUCAUGGGCAGGUGCUAUUCAAGUUUGCGAAGGAAAGGUUUUCCUAGAGUUAGGGUAAUUUUUUCCUCAAAUAAGAAAAACCUACAGUAAAUAAUUACUCUCCAUAUUAUCUUUAGGUUUCUUGCCAGUAUUAACAUCUUUUUUAUUGUAAGUGAUGAUAUUGUCUGUGAGAACAUUACAGUAGGUUAGUAUCCUGGGUUAAGCUAAGUGUUGUUGAAAAUAAUCCUGGACAUCCAAACAGGAAGAGAGGAAGUCAAACUAUUCCUGUUUGCAAAUAACAUGAUUCUAUAUCUAGAAAACCCUGUAAUGUCAGCCCCAAGGCUCUGUGAGAUCAGAGAUAAAUAACCUCAGCAAAGUCAACAUACAAACAUCAGUAGCAUUCCUUAUACAAACAACAUCCAAGCUGAUGGCCAAAUCAGGAUGCAAUCCCAUUCACAAUUGCCCCCCCAAAAAUAUAAAAUACUUAGGAAUACAGCUAACCAGGGAUGUGAAAGAUCUCUAUAAUAAGAAUUACAAAACACUGCUCAAAAAAUCAUAGAUGACACCAAAAAUUGGAAAAAUAAUCCAUGCUCAUGGAUUGGAUGAAUCAAUAUCAUUAAAAUGGCCAUACUGCCCAAAGCAAUUUACAGAUUUCACAGAUUCAGUGCUAUUCCUAUCAAAAUAUCAAUGACAUUUUUCGUGGAAUUAGAAAAAACUAUUUUAAAAUUGACAUGGAACCCAAAAGGGACCCCGAAUAGUCGAGGCAAUCCUAAACAAAAAGAACAAAGCUGGAGGUAUUAUAUUACCCAAUGUCAACAUAUACUACAGGGCUAUAGUAACCAAAAGAGCAUGGUACUGGUACAAAAACAGACACAUAGACCAAUAGAACGUAAUAAAGAGCCCAGAAAUAAUGUCACACCACUUACAACCAUCUGAUCUUCAAUAAAGCUGACAAAAACAAACAAUAGGGAAAAGAUUCCUCAUUCAAUAAAUGGUGCUGGGAUAACUGGCUAGUCAUAUGCAGAAGAUUGAAACUGGACACCCCACCUUACACUACAUACAAAAAUCAGUGUAAGAUGAAUUAAAGGCUUAAAUGUAAAACCUAAAACUAUAAAAACCCUGAAAGAUAACCUAGGAAAUACCAUUCUGGACAUAGAACUUGGCAAAGAUUUCAUGAUGAAGACAACAAAAGCAAUUGCAACAAAAACAAAAAUUGACAAAUGGGAUCUAAUUAAACUGAAGAGCUUCUGAACAAAAAAAGAAACUAUCAACAGAGUAAACAGACAACCUACAGAAUGGGAGAAGAUAUCUGCAAACUAUGCAUCCAACAAAGGUCUAAUAUCCAGAUGCUGUAAGGAACUUAAAUUUAUAAGCAUAAACAAACAACCCCAUUAAAAAGUGGGCAAAGGACAUGAAGAGAUACUUUUCAAAAGAAGACAUAUAUGUGGCCAACAAGCAUAUAAAAAAUGCUCAACAUCACUAAUCAUUAGAGAAAUGCAAAUUAAAACCACAGUGAAAUACCAUCCCACACCAGUCAGAAUGGCUAUUAUUAAAAGUUGAAAAAUAAUAGGUGCUAGCAAUGUUGUGGAGAAAAGGGAACACUUAUACACCACUGAUGGGAAUGUAAAUUAGUUCAGCCACUGUAGAAAGCAGUUGGGUGAUUCCUCAAAGAACUUAAAAAAACAGAGUUACCAUCCAACCUAGCAACCCCAUUAUUGGGUAUAAUCCAAAGGAAUAUAAAUUGUUCUAUCAUAAAGACACAUGCACAUGUAUAUUCAUUGCAGCACUAUUCGCAAUAAGAAAGAUAUGGCAUCACCCUAAAUGCCCAUCAGUGGUAGACUGGAUAAAGAAAAUGUGGUGCAUAUACACCAUGGAAUACUAUGCAGCCAUAAAAAACAAUGAGAUCAUGUCCUGUGAAGCAACAUGGAUGGAUCUGGAAGCCAUUAUCCUAAGCAAACUAACACAAGAACAGAAAACCAAAUAUGGCAUGUUCUUACAAGUGGAAGCUAAACAAUAGGAACACAUGGAUAUUAGAAGGGUAACAGAAGAUAUUGGGGCCUACUUGAGGGUGGAAAGUGGGAGGAAGGAGAGGAUCGGAAAAAUACCUAUUGGGUACUAUGUUUAUUACCUGGAUGAUAAAAUUAUCUGUCACCAAACCCCUGUGACAUGCAGUUUACCUAUAUAACAAACCUGCACAUGUACCCCUGAGCCUAAAAUAAAAGUUUAAAAAAAAAAAAGAAAAUACACCUGGACCCUAUUUUGAAAGACAUACUGUAGACUUGAGGGAGGAAGAGCAGAGGGAUGGAAAGGGCCCCGAAUUACCCACAAGCCAUGUGAAUGCUUAAGCAGUCAUGGACCACAAUUCUCACCACACACACACACACACACACACACACACACACACACACACACACACAGGUCUGAACCCUUACCCCUGUCUACUACUUAUUGGAGCUUGGUAGAAAAAAAGUUGUGAGUGACAGAAAAGUGAGAAAAAGAGAAGAAGAAGAAAAAUUGGAAAGUGUGGAAGAAAAAGUGGCAAAUGCAAGCAGCCCUUAAUGGAACUGUGCUGAAUUGAGAGACAGCAGAAGGUAACAGCUGGCUGGGACUUGGCCAUGAAAGGUGGAAUGUGAGGAGACAAAUGAAAUGGAAAUGCAGGAAAGAAUGGAGUGGCAAAGGAGGCUGGAGAUGGGGCAGAGGAUAGCAAGGGGAGAGAAGGAAGCACAGAAAGGGUGUGGGGGACAGGCCAGAGAGUAGAAGGCUAGAUGGAACUGACUGAUGCCACCAGUCAGAGAUGGAGACCAUUAACAAUGUGUAGGGAAACCCCUGCCUUCCCAAUAAUGAAAAUGCAGGUUUAAUCAGUACCAAGGAACACUGUGAAGUAAGGGCAUUGACUUGGGAAGUGAAAGCCGAAGAUAGAGCAAACCCCAUACGGCAUAUCCUAACUCGCCAUUUUAACAGCAGAAAGACUCGAAAAUACAAAGCAAAGGAUUAUCCAAAGGGCUUUUUAAAAUAAUGCUUAAAAUUUUAAUCUUGUAAAUAUAUUUCCCUUCCCAGUAUGAAAAUAAUUCCGAGUAUAAUCUUUAUUUACUUUCCCCUUUUUAUUUUAGAAGAGUAAACAUAGCUUUAAGAAUUAAAAAAAUCAGUUAAUAAUCUGACUUUUAAGUCAGCUGUAAAAAUGUAAGUUUCUAGCUCUGCCACUUUUUAGUAGUGUGACUUUGGGCAAAUUGCUCAAAAACUCCAAAUUCUUGUUUCUUUACCUACAAAAAAGGGACAAUAAUACAUACCUCCUAUGAUAGUAGAAAAUUACGUGAAAAUAUACUCCAAGUAUCUCAGAGGGCUUGAUUUCCAGAAAGCGCCCAAGCUCAAUCAAUAGUGACGUUUACUAUCCACGCAGCCAGUUCUACUACUGGGAGUUGGUUGGUGCUGAUAAAGCUUUUUGUCAGACUUCUCACAAUUUCCAUUGUGAGAAGAUGUAGCUUCCAAUUAACUCUGUCACUGAUUGUUGGGUAACUUUGGGCCAAAUGCUGUUCCUUAAUGAAUGUGGGUGUGAAACUUAUUAAGAUUAAUGACUGUCACAGCUGUUAGCCAGAUGUUUACAUAAUUCCCUCUGUUUUACAGCAAUCAUAUCAGAGGAAAGGGGUUGAAUGAUAGAAUUAGAAAAAUAAGUACAAUAUUGUGGGAAUGAAUAAAUGUUGUUUUGGAGGGUAGGAGAUUAAAAUCCUAAAUGUAUUUUGAUUAGGCUAAUAUUAAAAAUUAGCAUCUGUAAAUCAGUAAUCUAAUUGAAGGAAUUUUUUAACACAAGUGACUGGUGGAGGGGACACAGCAUGGGAGGGCAUGCUUACAGCAAGAGCUCCAUUGAUUAAAUAGUCCCCUGCAGAACACAGAGAGUUAAAUACGUCUUUAAUAGCCUCCAGCAUGAAAGGGCAAAUCAUUUGUUUUAAUUGAGGAAGGAUAAAAUAUUUUUGCUUUACACAUAUAUGUUCUAUUUUAGCAUCAUAGUUAUUUUUAUAGCUGUUAUAACUUCACAAAACCUAAUAGGAAAAUAAAUCUGAAUCCAGAAGAGUUCAAUACUUUCCAGAGGAGUCUAGUAAAUAAAAACUCUACACUGACUGACUGAUCUUAUUCAUGCACUGCUCCUAAACCCAAACUCUCAAGUGAAGGGAAAAGAGGUUAAUUCGUUGGAAUAAAUUCAUGGGAUUUUUUUUUAAAGACACAUCCUGAAUCAAAGUGAUUAAAACAACAAAUGGAUAAAGGGUAGAGCUGUGAGAGGACAAGGUUUGCAUUACUGAGCAUCUUGAUUAUGUGGGGAAGAUGGGAAACAGAUCUUGCCCAUUCUGGUCUCAAACUACUAAAUCCUGAGAAUGCCAAGAGGCGAGUCACUGAAGUCAGAAGUUGGAAACAUGGCUAAGCUGUCCAGAGUGUGGAACACAUGGUCUCUGAAGGUUUUUAUUAGUGUGUGGGUGAGAGUUCAGAAGCUCUACUAAUUACUUUUGUUUUCAGAAUUUAUAAAGUUAAGACAGAAAGCGGAAUAUUAACACUUCACUUCCUCGUGCAGUCAUUAAUUUACUCACUUAGCAUACAUUUAUUCAUAGAAGCUUAUUGGUACCAAGUAUACCCUCAAUGAGCAACCAACCCAAAAUUGCAAAAGGGAGAUCAAACAGGGAAGCUGUGGUAGGAAGUAUCAUGGCCUCUUCAAAGAUGUCUAUAUACUAAUCACAGAAUUUAUGUAUAUGUGAUGCUGUAUGUCAAGGGAAGAUUAAGGUGUGCAGAUGGAAUUAAGGUUGCUAAUCAGCUGACCUUAAAAUAGGAGUACUAUCUUGGAAUAUCUGGGUGGGCUCAAUGUAAUCACAAAUGUUCUUAACAGAUAGAAGAAGAAGGCAGAGGAGUCAGUGUUGGAGUGAUGCCAUGUGAGAAAGACUCAACUGGCCAUUGCUGGCUUUGAAAAUGGAAGGAGGCAUAAGCCAAGGAAUGAAUGCAGGUGCCUCUAGAACCUGGAAAAAGCAAGGAAACAAAUUCUCCUCUAGAACCUCCAGAAGGAAUGCAUUCCUGCCAACACCUUGAUUUUUAGCUCGGUGAGACCCAUGCUGGACUUCUGACCUGCAGGAUUGCAAGAUAAGAUAUUUGACUUAUUUUAAGAUGCUAAGUUUGCAGUAAUUUGAUAUGGUAGCCAUCGGAAACUAAUACCGAUGCCAAAGCAGUAAAGCAGGAAAGCACUCCAAAAUCACAGGAGUGAGAGGAGCAGAAAUGUCCUAGGAGAAGACAAUGUUUCCUUUUGAAAAGGAAAGUUUACUGGCAACUUCCAUUUGAAUUUCUUAAUUUCUUUCCUCAGUGGCAGUCACUACUUCCAAGGUGGCAGGUUCCAGAGCUGAUUCAUUAUAUAAUCUUUUCUCAGGAGUAUUCUAGCCACCUUUAAAGAAGCUAGGGCCAUUUUCCUGACACUGCAUCAAGGGGUAAGGUUAGUGGUAAAGAAACCAUGCGGUAGGAAAGGCCAACUUUCUCCCUACAUAAUCCAAUCGCAUUAUCUCCAGACUUGCUCACCCUCUGCUCUUUGCAUACUGCAGCUCCAGAGCUUUCAUACCUACAGACUUCCUGGAGUUAAGACUAAAACAAGAGUUGUGCUACAGACUACCGUUCCUAUUAUCAUUUUUUGUGUCCUGCUGAGUCCUCCCCUCUUGGCAACUUCAGGACCACCCACUGGGAAGAUAAUAUACAACCCAUCAGGAAACUCCCAGUGCCCAUCGUGGAGGCCAAGUGCUGCCAACUCUGAUUGCUUCUGGAAUGCCAUUUCUUCCCUGCCCUUUCAAUAUUCUUGUUAUGCGACUCCUAUGAUCACUGCCAAUCUGUAGAAAAUUACAGGAUGAAUUUUUGUGAAGGACUGAAUUUGCAUACUGGUCUUUUGUUGUUUAUUGUUGGGGGGAUUUUGCUUUUUGCACACAAUUUCUGCACAUUUUAUUGGAAGUUAUUGGGUUAGAUUCAUCCCAUUCAUUCACUAGCCUGGCAUUGCUAUGCAUGUGCUGUAGGGGCUUAGCAUUAAACGAUUUUCUUUGUUCAGAUUUGGAUUGCUGUCUCUGCUUGCAAAUUAUUUUUCACAAUGACUCCUUCUUUUCCUUCUCUCUCUCUCUCUUUCUCUCUCUCUCUCUCUCACACACACACACAGACACACACACACACACACACACACACACACACACACACACACAGAUGAGGUUAGAUAUUUUUCCAUUGCCAAGUUCAGGACCCAUGAAUAC
rnacentral:lncRNA from 1 species